rnacentral:rRNA from 1 species
GAUGAACGCUAGCUACAGGCUUAACACAUGCAAGUCGAGGGGCAGCGGGAUUGAAGCUUGCUUCAAUCGCCGGCGACCGGCGCACGGGUGAGUAACGCGUAUCCAACCUUCCGCAUACUCGGGGAUAGCCUUCUGAAAAGGAGAUUAAUACCCGAUGGUAUCAAGAGAUUGCAUGAUAACUUGAUUAAAGAAAUUCGGUAUGCGAUGGGGAUGCGUUCCAUUAGGUAGUAGGCGGGGUAACGGCCCACCUAGCCAACGAUGGAUAGGGGUUCUGAGAGGAAGGUCCCCCACAUUGGAACUGAGACACGGUCCAAACUCCUACGGGAGGCAGCAGUGAGGAAUAUUGGUCAAUGGACGAGAGUCUGAACCAGCCAAGUAGCGUGAAGGAUGAAGGUUCUAUGGAUUGUAAACUUCUUUUAUAAGGGAAUAAAACCUCCCACGUGUGGGAGCUUGUAUGUACCUUAUGAAUAAGCAUCGGCUAACUCCGUGCCAGCAGCCGCGGUAAUACGGAGGAUGCGAGCGUUAUCCGGAUUUAUUGGGUUUAAAGGGAGCGCAGACGGGGGAUUAAGUCAGUUGUGAAAGUUUGGGGCUCAACCUUAAAAUUGCAGUUGAUACUGGUUCUCUUGAGUGCAGUUGAGGCAGGCGGAAUUCGUGGUGUAGCGGUGAAAUGCUUAGAUAUCACGAAGAACCCCGAUUGCGAAGGCAGCUUGCUAAACUGUAACUGACGUUCAUGCUCGAAAGUGUGGGUAUCAAACAGG